GAUGAACGCUGGCGGCGUGCCUAAUACAUGCAAGUCGAGCGAACGGACGAGAAGCUUGCUUCUCUGAUGUUAGCGGCGGACGGGUGAGUAACACGUGGAUAACCUACCUAUAAGACUGGGAUAACUUCGGGAAACCGGAGCUAAUACCGGAUAAUAUUUUGAACCGCAUGGUUCAAAAGUGAAAGACGGUCUUGCUGUCACUUAUAGAUGGAUCCGCGCUGCAUUAGCUAGUUGGUAAGGUAACGGCUUACCAAGGCAACGAUGCAUAGCCGACCUGAGAGGGUGAUCGGCCACACUGGAACUGAGACACGGUCCAGACUCCUACGGGAGGCAGCAGUAGGGAAUCUUCCGCAAUGGGCGAAAGCCUGCCGGAGCAACGCCGCGUGAGUGAUGAAGGUCUUCGGAUCGUAAAACUCUGUUAUUAGGGAAGAACAUAUGUGUAAGUAACUGAGCACAUCUUGACGGUACCUAAUCAGAAAGCCACGGCUAACUACGUG
rnacentral:rRNA from 1 species